CUUUUGGGCUUGACGGCUUGAAACCAUUUAGGGCUGUAGACGUCGACGACAUUCACCUUCCUCUUACGUUCGUCUUCUCCGAUCGAAAGACAAAGAAACUGAGCCACUCUCAUCAAUCAAUACGGUUCUUUACUACCAUGAAUUCAUUCAUAAUGACUUCGUUUCGCCUCCCUCUUCUCCUCCUUCUUUAUAUACAGAUCCUCUUUCGUUUUAACAAACCAAAACCCUAGAUCUCCUCCAACCUCAAUCGAUGGCGAUGAAACCAAAUGAGAAGUCCCCUGUCUCCUCCGCUUCUGAUGAAAAGGUCAUAUUCUUCAGAGAUGUCUCACUAAAUCCCCCACGAAACCCAGUUGCGCUUCCGUCAGAGUAUCAAAGAAGAAGCGACAAGAACGACAAGAACGAGAAGCUCAAAGACAGAGGGAAAAAAUGAACAGUGUUUUGGCAAGAAACUUAGAGUUCUCGCAGCUGAUCAUGCAGCAGAAGGGAUUUCUAGAAAAUUAUCUAUGGAGUCAUCUGUGUUAUAGGUAUCGGUGCUAAAACAAGAAAAAGAGGUGUUAUCAAAUGCUGAGAAAAGAGCCUCUGACGAAGUUUUUGUUUUAUCUCAGAGAGUUUAUCGUCUUCAGGCUAUCUUGGAUACUCUCCAGAGUACAGAGGAAGCUCGUGAGGAAGCAAGAGCUGCCGAGAGAAGGAAACAAGAGGAGCAUAUCAAGCAACUUGAGAGAAUGGGCUGAAGCUAAAGAAAUUGGAAGAAGAAGCAUCAUUUUGGAAGUGAAGAGUGCGACCAAUGCUUCUGAACAGACCUUUAUUAAAGCCCAAAAGGUCAACGGAAGCCAAAGCAUGAGAAAAUCUCAGGUGGUAAGAAUGUUCCAUUGGUUCAUAUCAAAUAGAACACAGGUGCAGAUGCUAAAUUGUCACCUUCAAAUGGUGAUACCAUAGCAGCCCAGGUCAUGGAGAAUAUUAAACAAGACCCUGCACGAGCUGAUAGUGCCGCCGGCUACUCAGUCCUUUCCUUUUGAAAUCUGAGGUUCUUUUUGUAUUAUCUUGAAGACUUAAGUUUAUCCAUCUAGAGAUAAUGGUGCUAAGUGUUACUAUUAAUCUUUUAUUCACUGAUAAAUUGUUGAAACUAGAGAUUUUUCUUUCUUAAAUACAUGGAAAAGGUGAAACCAAAUCCUCAAAAGAAACAAGUCCGUCCGCCAUCUGAAGAUGAUACUUAAUCUUCUAAGUAUUUGUCCGUGAAAUCUUUGACGAGGCUCGACAGUCUGCUCCAUGCGUUCUCUUCUUUGAUGAGCUCGACUCCAUUGCGACUCAGAGAGGAGGUGGAGGCGGAGGUGAUGCUGGCGUGGCAGCGGAUAGAGUCCUGAACCAGCUUUUGACGGAGAUGGACGGAAUGAACGCCAAGAAGACUGUCUUCAUCAUUGGAGCAACCAACAGACCUGACAUUGUAAGAGUAUAGUUUAGGCAACUGCGAUUGUGUCGUAGAGUUAAAAAGGAAAAUCAUGUACCACUUUGUAACUUCGACCCUCCCUUACUUGCUCAGAUGCAGAGUUCGGUCUCAC